ACUAUUGUUAGUUUGGAAAUUCCCUUUCCUUCUGUAAGUCUCUAACUCAUAUGUUCUAAUUUUAAGGUUUUGUUUCGAUUUGAUUAUCUCUUUCUUUCACUUUGUUUAUUUGUAGGUGAUUGAUAAGCAAAAAUCAAUGGAGAAAGAUGAGAAGAAGGCUUCUAAUAAAAGCCCAAGUGCUUUUAAGAAACGGAAAAUGGACAAACUUAGUGUCAAAAGUUACAGAUCUACUGGUGAUGAUGGUAAUGGUAAUGGUACUGGUGAUGAGUCUUUGGCUAGUAACUCAAGUACUAAUAUGGAUCCAAGGAGGAACAAGAGAUAAAUGUUCAUCAUCUUGUAUUUUUUGUAUUCUUAUAUUAGUUUUAUGCAAC
rnacentral:lncRNA from 1 species